rnacentral:rRNA from 1 species
GACAGCAGUAGCCGCGGUAAUACGAAGGGUGCAAGCGUUACUCGGAAUUACUGGGCGUAAAGCGUGCGUAGGUGGUGGUUUAAGUCCGUUGUGAAAGCCCUGGGCUCAACCUGGGAAUUGCAGUGGAUACUGGGUCACUAGAGUGUGGUAGAGGAUAGUGGAAUUUCCAGUGUAGCAGUGAAAUGCGUAGAGAUCGGAAGGAACAUCUGUGGCGAAGGCGACUAUCUGGGCCAACACUGACACUGAGGCACGAAAGCGUGGGGAGCAAAUGGGAUUAGAUACCCCCGUAGUCCCUGUCUCUUAUAC